rnacentral:rRNA from 1 species
GUGCCUAACACAUGCAAGUUGAGCGAUUUACUUCGGUAAAGAGCGGCGGACGGGUGAGUAACGCGUGGGUAACCUACCCUGUACACACGGAUAACAUACCGAAAGGGAUGCUAAUACGGGAUAAUAUAUUUGAGAGGCAUCUCUUGAAUAUCAAAGGUGAGCCAGUACAGGAUGGACCCGCGUCUGAUUAGCUAGUUGGUAAGGUAACGGCUU